GAUCCUGGCUCAGGAUGAACGCUGGCGGCGUGCUUAACACAUGCAAGUCGAACGAGCCUUCGGGCUAGUGGCGGACGGGUGAGUAACGCGUGGGAAUCUGCCCUCAGGAGGGGGAUAACGGCCGGAAACGGCCGCUAAUACCCCAUAUGCCGAGAGGUGAAACGAAUUUCGCCUGAGGAUGAGCCCGCGUCUGAUUAGCUAGUUGGUGAGGUAAUGGCUCACCAAGGCAUCGAUCAGUAGCUGGUCUGAGAGGAUGAUCAGCCACACUGGGACUGAGACACGGCCCAGACUCCUACGGGAGGCAGCAGUGGGGAAUUUUCCGCAAUGGGCGCAAGCCUGACGGAGCAACGCCGCGUGAGGGACGAAGGCCUCUGGGCUGUAAACCUCUUUUCUCAAGGAAGAAGACAUGACGGUACUUGAGGAAUAAGCCACGGCUAAUUCCGUGCCAGCAGCCGCGGUAAUACGGGAGUGGCAAGCGUUAUCCGGAAUUAUUGGGCGUAAAGCGUCCGCAGGCGGCCUUGAAAGUCUGUUGUUAAAGCGUGGAGCUCAACUCCAUUUCAGCAAUGGAAACUACAAGGCUAGAGUGUGGUAGGGGCAGAGGGAAUUCCCGGUGUAGCGGUGAAAUGCGUAGAUAUCGGGAAGAACACCAGUGGCGAAGGCGCUCUGCUGGGCCAUAACUGACGCUCAUGGACGAAAGCCAGGGGAGCGAAAGGGAUUAGAUACCCCUGUAGUCCUGGCCGUAAACGAUGAACACUAGGUGUCGGGAGAAUUAACCCUUUCGGUGUCGUAGCCAACGCGUUAAGUGUUCCGCCUGGGGAGUACGCACGCAAGUGUGAAACUCAAAGGAAUUGACGGGGGCCCGCACAAGCGGUGGAGUAUGUGGUUUAAUUCGAUGCAACGCGAAGAACCUUACCAGGGUUUGACAUCCUGCGAAUCCUUUGGAAACUUAGGAGUGCCUUCGGGAGCGCAGUGACAGGUGGUGCAUGGCUGUCGUCAGCUCGUGUCGUGAGAUGUUGGGUUAAGUCCCGCAACGAGCGCAACCCACGUCUUUAGUUGCCAGCAUUUAGUUGGGCACUCUAGAGAGACCGCCGGUGAUAAACCGGAGGAAGGUGUGGAUGACGUCAAGUCAUCAUGCCCCUUACAUCCUGGGCUACACACGUACUACAAUGCUACGGACAAAGGGCAGCAAACUCGCGAGAGCUAGCAAAUCCCAUAAACCGUGGCUCAGUUCAGAUCGUAGGCUGCAACUCGCCUACGUGAAGGAGGAAUCGCUAGUAAUCGCAGGUCAGCAUACUGCGGUGAAUACGUUCCCGGGCCUUGUACACACCGCCCGUCACACCAUGGAAGUUGGCCAUGCCCGAAGUCGUUACUCCAACCCGCAAGGGAGGAGGACGCCGAAGGUGGGGCUGAUGACUGGGGUGAAGUCGUAACAAGGUAGCCGUACCGGAAGGUGCGGCUGGAUCACCUCCUAACAGGGAGACAAUCAAAGAUUGUGAUGUCUGGCUAAUUUAUUGCUAGACCACGGUCCUGUCAUCUCGAUGGUUAAUCGGUACCUCAAGCGACGGAGACAAAGCCUGAAGUUUUUCUAGCGAUAGGAGAGCUGAUGUGUUGUUGUCAAAGUCUUUUCAGUUCCUAAACUUUGUCUAGGUCACCCCCGCAAGGGAAUCCCUGGGCCAUUAGCUCAGGUGGUUAGAGCGCACCCCUGAUAAGGGUGAGGUCCCUGGUUCAAGUCCAGGAUGGCCCAUUCGUGUUCGGGGGUUUAGCUCAGUUGGUAGAGCGCCUGCUUUGCAAGCAGGAUGUCAGCGGUUCGAGUCCGCUAACCUCCACUGACCAAGCCUCCACGUUCGCGAGAACAAGGGGACAGAGCUUGUGGUGGUGAAUUUAGACGAUUGUACUGAAGAAGGACUCUAGCUUCCUUUCACUGUAUGACGAGCACCAAUCUUGAUACGCAUCAAGAGAGAGUGCUGGUUGUAUUCGAAAAGACGCUGGACUCCAACAUGGUCAGCUGCGAGGCUGACCGUUGUGAUGUUCAGUAGAACCUUGACAACUGCAUAGGUAAGUCUGUAAAUAAAGCAUCUCAUGGAUGCUCUAGAGGCAGCUGAUGAUUCCAGUGGCUUUGGCCACUGAAAUCAUGGUUUGUUUUUGGAGCGAUUCUAGAGUAGGAGCCGAGACUCCACAUUGCUCCUGGUUCUUGCCGAAAGAAUCGGGUUUGAUCUUGUUUUUAGUUUUAAAAACCGGAGAAUCUGCGUACAACCGCAGCAAGGUGAUGUGGAGAUAAAUUGGUCAAGCUACAAAGGGCUCACGGUGGAUACCUUGGCACACAGAGGCGAUGAAGGACGUAGUUACCUGCGAUAAGUCUCGGGGAGCUGGAAACACGCUUUGAUCCGGGAAUUUCCGAAUGGGGCAACCCCUAGAACGGCCAGCUGAAUCCAUAGGCUGGCACGAGCCAACCCAGCGAACUGAAACAUCUUAGUAGCUGGAGGAAAGGAAAGUAAAAACGACUCCCUAAGUAGCGGCGAGCGAACGGGGAAGAGCCUAAACCGAUGGUUUCGACCAUCGGGGUUGUGGGACAGCAACGUGGACCAGUGACCGUUAGUGGAAGCGUUUGAAAGGCGCGCCAUAGAGGGUGAAAGCCCCGUACGCGAAAACGAAUCUGGCCUAGCUGUAUCCCGAGUAGUACGGAGCACGUGAAAUUCCGUAUGAAUCUGCGAGGACCACCUCGUAAGGCUAAGUACUCCUGUGUGACCGAUAGCGCAACAGUACCGCGAGGGAAAGGUGAAAAGAACCCCGGGAGGGGAGUGAAAUAGAACAUGAAACCGUGAGCUACAAGCAAUGGA
rnacentral:rRNA from 1 species